ensembl:lncRNA
GUCUUAAUGGGGUCCCAAUGGGGUCAGUGGGGUCUUAAUGGGGUCCCAAUGGUGUCCCAAUGGGGUUAAUGGGGUCUUAAUGGGGUCCCAAUGGGGUCCCAAUGGGGUCAAUGGCGUCUUAAUGGGGUCCCAAUGGGGUCAGUGGGGUCUUAAUGGGGUCCCAGUGGGGUUACAAUGGGGUCAAUGGCGUCUUAAUGGUGUCCCAAUGGGGUCAAUGGGGUCUUAAUGGGGUCCCAAUGGGGUCCCAAUG